UACCUGCGGAGGGAUCAUUACUGAGUUACCGCUCUAUAACCCUUUGUGAACAUACCUACAACUGUUGCUUCGGCGGGUAGGCCGUCCCCUGAAAAGGACGCCUCCCGGCCCGGACCGGACCCCCUGUGGGGCCGGACUCGGCGCCCGCCGGAGGAUAACCAAACGCUAUUUUAACGACGUUUCUUCUGAGUGGCAUAAGCAAAAUAAUCAAAACUUUUAACAACGGAUCUCUUGGUUCUGGCAUCGAUGAAGAACGCAGCGAAAUGCGAUAAGUAAUGUGAAUUGCAGAAUUCAGUGAAUCAUCGAAUCUUUGAACGCACAUUGCGCCCGCCAGCAUUCUGGCGGGCAUGCCUGUUCGAGCGUCAUUUCAACCCUCAAGCUCUGCUUGGUGUUGGGGCUCUACGGUCGACGUAGGCCCUCAAAGGUAGUGGCGGACCCUCCCGGAGCCUCCUUUGCGUAGUAACAUUUCGUCUCGCACUGGGAUCCGGAGGGACUCUUGCCGUAAAACCCCCCAAUUUUUCAAGGUUGACCUCGGAUCAGGUAGGAAUACCCGCUGAACUUAAGCAUAUCAAA
rnacentral:rRNA from 1 species